CGGAUUGACUCUGGAGAGCGGCCGUCAGGCCCACCGACGGGGCAGGGACCGGUUUGUCCGGUUUCAAACUCUCAGGUUCAGGACAGAGGGGCGGCG
rnacentral:ncRNA from 1 species